GAGUAACAGAAUGGUGUUGAGGUCAUUAAUACACGGUUCUGUUAUUAACACUAAGGAAAAGGCAGUUUCUCACCGUAAACACUGACGCCAAUAUCCGAUCUUUAAUCCGAUCUCAUUAAUGGAGCGAAACACAGACUGGUUCAAACUGCAGCUCUGACAGUCCUACAUCUCCAUCUGAAAACAAGAACAAGUUAAUCUUCUACUAGCUUUGUGCCUGCAUGUGACUCCUCAUGGGAUUGCCUCAGCGGGCAUGUCGUUUCUGAGAGAUCUCAUUCUCACUAAUCUGAGUCACUGGAUUUAAUGAAAUUGGUGUUUUUCUGAUGCCAUGAUUUCAGCUCCACCACUGAGAUGGGUUUUACUGAUUCUCUUUCCGACUCUCAGCCAUCAGACGUCUGGAACAUUUUCAGUGAAGGUUCAGUCUCCAGCCUCAGGGUUCCUUGGUUCCUCUGUGUCUCUACACUGUGCUCUUGUAAACAACAUGGAUGCUCGAAACCUGGAAGUGAGCUGGUACCGUCCCAAAAUGCAAAACACCCCGAUCCUGUCCUACAAGAACACACAGAUCCAGAGUCCUGUAGAUGUUCAGUACCAGCGCAGAGUGUUCCUGUUAGGAGAACUGGAGAAAGGAGAUGUCUCUCUGAAGCUGGGAGAACCUGACGCUAGCAGAUAGGUAGA
ensembl:lncRNA